GUCUCAUGAAAGGUGUUAUUGUCAAGUUUUAUUUCAAUCCCAAUGAAAAUUUAUAUUACGUGGAAUUGAAAGGCCAACUGCUCAGUGGUUGGAGAACUACUUCCAGAAUAAGCUUUGAGAAGAAGCUCUCCGAAGAAGAUUUAACCGACAUGAAUAUACCACUGAUUCAUGAGAACAACCAGCCCGUCAUGGUUGUGUGGGAUCAAAAAGAUAUGCAGUGGAGGUUUCAGAUAGCAAUAGGUGGUGAUAAUGGUAAUAAAAAGAUG